GGCAGCCUAUAGCCUAGUGGUUAAGAUACAUGACUGGGACCCCUGAGGUUGGUGGUUCAAAUCCCAGUUCAGCCA
rnacentral:tRNA from 1 species